CCUACGGGUGGCAGCAGUGGGGGAUAUUGCACAAUGGGGGAAACCCUGAUGCAGCGACGCCGCGUGUGGGAAGACGGUCUUCUGGAUUGUAAACCACUGUCCCCAGGGACGAAAAUGACGGUACCUGGGGAGGAAGCUCCGGCUAACUACGUGCCAGCAGGCGCGGUAAUACGUAGGGAGCAAGCGUUGUCCGGAAUUACUGGGUGUAAAGGGAGCGUAGGCGGGGAUGCAAGUUGGGUGUCAAAACUACCGGCUCAACCGAUAGUCGACCUCAAAACUGCAGCUCUUAAGUGAAGUAGAGGCAGGCGGAAUUCCUAGUGUAGCGGUGAAAUGCGUAGAUAUUAGGAGGAACACCAGUGGCGAAGGCGGCCUGCUGGGCUUUUACUGACGCUGAGGCUCGAAAGUGUGGGGAGCAAACAGGAUUAGAUACCCUUGUAGUC
rnacentral:rRNA from 1 species